UACGGAGGGUGCAAGCGUUAUCCGGAUUCACUGGGUUUAAAGGGUGUGUAGGCGGGCUGUUAAGUCAGUGGUGUAAUCUCCGGGCUCAACCCGGAAACUGCCAUUGAUACUAAUGGUCUUGAAUUUUGUUGAGGUAGGCGGAAUAUGUCAUGUAGCGGUGAAAUGCUUAGAUAUGACAUAGAACACCGAUUGCGAAGGCAGCUUACUAAGCAAAUAUUGACGCUGAGGCACGAAAGCGUGGGGAUCAAACAGG
rnacentral:rRNA from 1 species